rnacentral:rRNA from 1 species
UACAGAGGUCUCAAGCGUUGUUCGGAUUCAUUGGGCGUAAAGGGUGCGUAGGCGGCGCCGUAAGUCAGGUGUGAAAUUUCGGAGCUUAACUCCGAAACUGCAUUUGAUACUGCGGUGCUUGGGGACUGGAGAGGAGACUGGAAUUUACGGUGUAGCAGUGAAAUGCGUAGAGAUCGUAAGGAAGACCAGUGGCGAAGGCGGGUCUCUGGACAGUUCCUGACGCUGAGGCACGAAGGCCAGGGGAGCAAACGGG